rnacentral:rRNA from 1 species
AAGUCUCUUGUGAAAUCUAAUGGCUUAACCAUUAAACUGCUUGGGAAACUGAUAGUCUAGAGUGAGGGAGAGGCAGAUGGAAUUGGUGGUGUAGGGGUAAAAUCCGUAGAUAUCACCAAGAAUACCCAUUGCGAAGGCGAUCUGCUGGAACUCAACUGACGCUAAGGCGCGAAAGCGUGGGGAGCAAACAGGAUUAGAUACCCUGGUAGUCCACGCCCUAAACGAUGUACACUAGUUGUUGGGAUGCUAGUCAUCUCAGUAAUGCAGCUAACGCAUUAAGUGUACCGCCUGGGGAGUACGGUCGCAAGAUUAAAACUCAAAGGAAUAGACGGGGACCCGCACAAGCGGUGGAGCAUGUGGUUUAAUUCGAAGAUACGCGAAGAACCUUACCUGGGCUUGAUAUCCUAAGAACCUUAUAGAGAUAUGAGGGUGCUAGCUUGCUAGAACUUAGAGACAGGUGCUGCACGGCUGUCGUCAGCUCGUGUCGUGAGAUGUUGGGUUAAGUCCCGCAACGAGCGCAACCCACGUAUUUAGUUGCUAACGGUUCGGCCGAGCACUCUAAAUAGACUGCCUUCGUAAGGAGGAGGAAGGUGUGGACGACGUCAAGUCAUCAUGGCCCUUAUGCCCAGGGCGACACACGUGCUACAAUGGCAUAUACAAUGAGACGCAAUACCGCGAGGUGGAGCAAAUCUAUAAAAUAUGUCCCAGUUCGGAUUGUUCUCUGCAACUCGAGAGCAUGAAGCCGGAAUCGCUAGUAAUCGUAGAUCAGCCAUGCUACGGUGAAUACGUUCCCGGGUCUUGUAC